rnacentral:hammerhead_ribozyme from 1 species
ACCCAGCUGAUGAGUCCCAAAUAGGACGGAACGCGAGUCAUGCAU